GGGAUGUCGGUGUCAGCCCGCGCUCGGAGCCCCGCCGAGCACGGAGCGACCCCCGCGGGGUCCCGAGGGAGGGGCGGCCGCUGCCCCCCGGCGUGCGGUGGAGGGGGUGGAGAGAGAAGGUGAUUCUCAUUACAAGGCUUUUGGUGUAAACUAAAACACAAGAAGUUCCACCUCAGCGUGAGGAAGAACUUCUUGACAUGGAGAGCGGCAGAGCGCUGGGACAGGCUGCCCAGGGCGGUCCUGGAUUCUCCCUAUUUAGAGACCUUCCAGACCUACAGGAACACGUUCCUGUGUCCCUGCUCCAGUUGACCCUGCCUUAGCAGGGGGUUUGGACUGGAUCAUUACCAGAGAUCCCUUCCAACCCUAAUGAUUCUGUGAUUCCAUUUGUUUUAUUUACGGAGUUGCUGCCUUUCCCAGUGCCGCUGGCGGAGCUCUCACUGAUGAACAAGUUGAUCCACACAUCCCUGGUGGAGUCCCAGCAGCACGUGGAGAUCCUGCAGCGGGACCCCAGCUCCCCACUCUUUUCCAUCAAGACCUUCGAGGAGCUGCCCCUGAAGAAGGAGCUCUUGCAGGGGGUUUAUAUGAUGGGCUUCAACAGACCAUCCAAAAUCCAGGAGCAGGCUCUGCCACUCAUGCUGGCAUACCCGCCCCAAAAUCUGAUUGCCCAGAGCCAGUCAGGGACAGGGAAAACAGCAGCUUUUGUCUUGGCCAUGUUGAGCAGAGCCAGUGCCAACGAGAAAUACCCGCAGUGCCUCUGCCUGGCUCCCACCUACGAGCUGGCUCUGCAGAUCGGGCAGGUGGUCCGGACCAUUGGGAAAUUCUGCACAGACAUCAAGGUGAACUACGCUGUCCGGGGAAACCGAGUUCUGAAGGGCACAGUGCUGGAGGAGCAGAUCAUCAUCGGAACGCCGGGCACCACACUGGACUGGUGCUUCAAACAACGCAUCCUGGACCUGACCAAGAUCUCCUUGUUCGUGCUUGAUGAGGCUGACAUCAUGAUCGACACGCAGGGCCUCUCCUGUCAGAGCAUCCGCAUCCACAGGGCUCUUCCCAAGAGCUGCCAAGUGCUGCUGUUCUCAGCCACUUACAAGGAACCUGUGCGGGCCUUUGCGGAGCGGAUCAUCCCCGACCCCAUCGUGAUCAAGCUCCGUGAGGAGGAGCUCACCCUGAGCAACAUCAGGCAGUACUUCAUGGUGUGCCAGAGCUCAGAAGAGCAGUACAGGGCCCUCUGCAACCUCUACGGCAGCUUCACCAUUGGUCAGGUCAUGAUCUUCUGCCAGACCCGGAGGCUUGCAGACUGGCUGUCGGGGAAGAUGAGCUGGGAUGGGCACCAAGUGGCCAUCCUGACGGCCGAGCUGACAGUGGUCCAGCGGGCCAGCGUCAUCCAGCGCUUCCGUGAGGGCAAGGAGAAGGUCCUCAUUGCCACCAACGUCUGUGCCAGAGGGAUUGAUGUGCAGCAGGUCACCACCGUGGUGAACUUCGGCCUCCCCGUGGAUCAGGAUGGCGAGCCGGAUUUCGAGACCUACCUGCACCGCAUCGGGAGGGCCGGACGCUUCGGGCACCGCGGCAUCGCCUUCAGCGUGGUGGAGAGAGAGACCGUGGAGCUCGUGCACAAGAUAGAGGAGUAUUUCCGGCUCAUCUCACUGGGAACAGACGACAGAUGCAGCUUUUAGGGUGAUUUUUGCUCCCUAGCAGGCACAUUUCCCAAGAAACAGCCCUAGAGGUUGUGUGCAGCUUGCAAGGGACAUUACCAGUACCCAGGAUGUCUCAGCACCUUCUUUUUUCCCUCCUUCAGGCAUUUUUUCUGCCUUUCCUUUCAAGCCCUAGUCCCAGGGCACCUGGUGCCCCGGCUCAGCUGAGCCCUGGCUGUCGGAGAGGAGAUGGCAGCUGUGGAAAUUGAUUGUCACUUGUCAACAUCAAGAGGAUUUUCAUGGGAUUUGCCAGCUGCUGUGGCUGCACCAAUGGCAUUUUGAAUCCCAGUGCCUGUUUUCCCUGUGAUUUUUAGAGGAAAGAAGGUUAUAGAAACCUUCUGAUGGGCAGGAAGCCCUUCCUCAGCUCCAGUCUCAGAGCCACUCAACCCUCUUGGUUCUUUUAAAUGUCCACCUGUCAUUGGAACGUGGGGUGAGCCUGAGGCAAACACCAGGCAGAGAAGACAUGGGCCACAAAGUCCGGCAAAGAUUGUUGCCCUGCAGUAGAAGAAAUGAGCACCUGGAACAACUGGCAUGUGGAUGAGUCCAACCACAGCCAUGGCCAGAAGGAGCCAGUGUGAGGAUGAACUUGAGGAUACGAACCUUCCCUGUCCUGCGUGGCUCUGGAGAGACCACGAUCAAGCAGCUGGAUCCAUACGACAUGGACGAGCUGGAGAAGCUUGCAGCUGAGUGAGGAGCAGGGAUUCGUUCUUCCAAAUCCAAGUUCUAGUUCUAGACAGGAGGAAAAGUUACAGGGGAAGACUUCCCGGUUCUCUUGUAUCCUCCUGAAGCUGUUGAGUUUUGUUGUGUUGCCUGAGGAGAGGCUGGAGCGAACCUCGUCUCGCUAGAUGGCAGCAGGAAUCCACUGCUGCCAUCCCAAAUCCCAGGGCGAAACCCAAGUGUUCAGAGUCCCGGCAGUGCAGGAGAGAGGUUGGACCCCCGGGGGUCCGAAAUCCAAGUGUUUGGGGUCCCAUCGGUGGGGGAGAGAGGUUGGACCCCAGGGGCCUGAAAUCCAAGCGUUCGGGGUCCCGCAGUGUGAGGACAGAAGUUGGACUCCAGGGACAGGGCUGUGUUUGUGCCUUUGUUAAUCUUUAAUAAAUGGAAUUGUUUGUAAUCA